ensembl:lncRNA
CACCCAACAGCUACCCUGUUGGCUAAAUGCCUGACAUCCAGCAUGGGACCUCUACUGCCAGCAUCCACUUACUGGCAUCACAGGGGCUUGACUGAGAUCUGAAACUUGAGUUUUCUUCAUCAGGAUGAGAUCUAUUCAAAUGUAGGAGAGAGCUUCAGGUCACAUGGUCCAGCCCUGGAUAUCCAAGCUGUCUUGAAUUCGGUUUGGGGUCAAGACUACAGCCCAUGGGAUGGGUGCAAGUCCAGGCUCCACUCACAUCAUGAACCUGGAAGACUAUCAGCUUGAGAAGCAAAGUCCAGAACAUGGAGAAUCAAGUCAAGAUCAGCAAAACCACAGCGGACCUCAGAGAUAGGUGAACUCUACCAAGCUCGGCUCAACCCACUAGAACCACCUACCCAUCUGCAAAUUCAGAGCUCAGCACACGUGCA